UUUCUCUUUCUCUUUUCUAUUUUUUUUUGUCCUUCUCUUUGGUCUACCUUCACCCUCGCGUCACACGUUACUGAUCCUCACUUGACGCUUCACCGCUGGUGCCCCACUACUCCUCGCAGUUAUCGAUCAUAGGUGGCCCUCCUACGGGACGCUGAUUGCCCCUUCUGCCUUCGGUUCAAAGACCCAAAAAUUCCUGCUCACGGGGUGUCUUGUAAACUGUUUCACGCCAUUCCACCUCCUUCAAUCACCAAUCUUCAUUUUCAGAAAUUGCAGGCGGCUAUAUAUCGCAAAUACCUGUACAACUUGAUGAGUGAUUGGUUUGUGGCUGGGACUUGGGAAAUGCUUGAUGUAUUUGUCAUUUACAGGUAUGGCUUCUAACAUUUCGCAUUCUAACCCAUCGAAACCUGUCACUUUACAGGUGUCUGCCAGCUCACAAGUAUCUGCCACUUCACAAACAAUAUCAUAGGCUUCACCCAUUAGCAAUAGCAUUCUUAGAUUAAUUGCUACACCUACUUUAAGGGCAUUGCAUGUUUAUACACCACCAGUUUUCUUGAUGCCUACUGUCAACCCAUUUUCUAAGGCUACUGAUGAUACCACCAUCAUAGAUACUUCAAGUACUUGCUCUAAGAAAGCCAUGGUUUCUUAAACUCUAGGCCCACUCUCAGGUUUGGUCGUAGAGGCUGCUAUUGUUGGCCCAUUAGCACUUCCACGUGCUAUCCCAAUUCCUCCUUUCCCUCUAGGAGAAUACAAGAAAUUGCAAGUCAACAAUCACCUGAAGCCACCUCCUCGACUUAGAGAUGUUAAGUCUUGUCCGCGACAAUCAUCAAUUUAGGAAGCAUGGAUCAACAAGCUUCAUUCUUGUUUCUCCAAUACUUGGAAGCUUCUUGGCAUUUAUGACUUCAUUAAGCUGACUAGAUUUGCCCUUCCUUGCUGCCCCAUGGUAAUUGUAGGUUAUUUAAGACUUUGGUCCCAAUCAUGUAACUUCUUUAUACUGCUAAUGGGCCCUAUGUCAAUCACCUUAAAGGACAUUAAGAUUCUCACCGAUCUAUCUAUUGUUGAAACAGAGAUGUGCUUCUCAUGAUUACCUAUCGCUGGCUUCUCUCUUACGACAAGCAACCCUUGUGCCCUUAGUACUAUAUUGCUGGCUUCCAUAUUUCGGUCCAUGUCCUCAUGGUCUCUAAUGCACCUGUGAGUAAAGUAAGUGGUGAAUUCUGGAUUGCACAGAUAUGGUUACUUUCAUACUUUCCAAAGCUAGCAAGUUCUUCACCAUCCUCAGUUGAUGGUGUCUUUGUAAAGAGUUGUAUCACUAGCUUGUGAAUGGGAUGAGCAUCAAGUAUUAAAAUCUUAGUUCAGCUACC